rnacentral:rRNA from 1 species
AUUGCCUCAGUAACGGCGAGUGAAGCGGCAACAGCUCAAAUUUGAAAUCUGGCCCUAGGCCCGAGUUGUAAUUUGCAGAGGAUGCUUUUGGCGAGGUGCCUUCCGAGUUCCCUGGAACGGGACGCCAUAGAGGGUGAGAGCCCCGUCUGGUCGGACACCGAGCCUCUGUAAAGCUCCUUCGACGAGUCGAGUAGUUUGGGAAUGCUGCUCUAAAUGGGAGGUAUAUGUCUUCUAAAGCUAAAUACCGGCCAGAGACCGAUAGCGCACAAGUAGAGUGAUCGAAAGAUGAAAAGCACUUUGAAAAGAGAGUUAAAUAGCACGUGAAAUUGUUGAAAGGGAAGCGUUUAUGACCAGACUUGGCCCGGUUGAUCAUCCAGCGUUCUCGCUGGUGCACUCUGCCGGUCCAGGCCAGCAUCAGUUCGUCGCGGGGGAUAAAGGUUUCGGGAAUGUGGCUCCCUCGGGAGUGUUAUAGCCCGUUGCGUAAUACCCUGCGGUGGACUGAGGUCCGCGCUUCUGCAAGGAUGCUGGCGUAAUGGUCAUCAACGACCCGUCUUGAAACACGGACCAAGGAGUCGUCUUCGUAUGCGAGUGUUCGGGUGUAAAACCCCUACGCGUAAUGAAAGUGAACGCAGGUGAGAGCUUCGGCGCAUCAUCGACCGAUCCUGAUGUUCUCGGAUGGAUUUGAGUAAGAGCAUACGGGGCCGGACCCGAAAGAAGGUGAACUAUGCCUGUAUAGGGUGAAGCCAGAGGAAACUCUGGUGGAGGCUCGCAGCGGUUCUGACGUGCAAAUCGAUCGUCAAAUAUGGGCAUGGGGGCGAAAGAC